rnacentral:rRNA from 1 species
GAUGAACGCUGGCGGCGUGCCUAAUACAUGCAAGUCGAGCGAACAGACGAGGAGCUUGCUCCUCUGACGUUAGCGGCGGACGGGUGAGUAACACGUGGAUAACCUACCUAUAAGACUGGGAUAACUUCGGGAAACCGGAGCUAAUACCGGAUAAUAUAUUGAACCGCAUGGUUCAAUAGUGAAAGACGGUUUUGCUGUCACUUAUAGAUGGAUCCGCGCCGCAUUAGCUAGUUGGUAAGGUAACGGCUUACCAAGGCAACGAUGCGUAGCCGACCUGAGAGGGUGAUCGGCCACACGGGAACUGAGACACGGUCCAGACGCCUACGGGAGGCAGCAGUAGGGAAUCUUCCGCAAUGGGCGAAAGCCUGACGGAGCAACGCCGCGUGAGUGAUGAAGGUCUGCGGAUCGUAAAACUCUGUUAUUAGGGAAGAACAAAUGUGUAAGUAACGAUGCACGUCUUGACGGUACCUAAGCAGAAAGCCACGGCUAACUACGU